ensembl:lncRNA
GCCAAACAGGUCGUCUCUAACAGCUUACAUGAACUCUUCUGUGUGAGAGUUCGAACAAGUGAAGAUAUUCCUGUGCAUUCUCAAGGAGAAGAUGGGCUGUCAGCUGGCAAAAAAAAAGUGUGUCUGACUUUUGCAGAGAUGAUGUGCACUCCAAAGGGAAGGCUAAGAUACUGAAGAUGAAGAGCGAUGGAAAGCAGAGAUGAAGAAAACAGAGGUGGAAAUGAUUAGUGACCCCUACUAAGGAGAAUGAUCUUCAAACUGGAAAAGAGAGAAAAUCUCAAGAGGAAAAUGAACUUAAGAUAGAAGACAAGAUAUUUGAGAAUAUCCAGAUUCUUCAAAUUUCCUAUGUUAAUGAUAAACCAAGGAUUUCCACUGAAUUCCUACAGUUUGCACACUCUUCUGGAAAUACUCGGUACAUUGCCCUGUAACUGCUGUGAAACAGCCUCCAACACUGACUGGGUCUACCAACUUAAGGUCUGAUCCACUGGUUACAGUAACCUUUAUAGAUAUGUGGGAGGACCCCUAGAGUUCUGUCUGAAGAUUGUUAAUGAAAAGCCCAUCUUAUCAACUCAGGGGAAGAGGCUCAUACUGUCUGAAGUGGCCCAUUGUUUGGAGUUAUUCCUGGCUGAUGACUCUCACCAUCAUAAAUAUUAGGAGGGAGUGGAGACGGAGAGGACACAGGGAAAAGGGAAGAAAGCACUGACCCCAGAGAAGUCCUCCACAAAGUUCAUCUCCCCAGGAAACAAGACAAAACAGAGGUUGGUGUUUCUUCACAGAGGCCAAAUAGUCCUUCUCAAAGGCUGGUGUUGCAACAAACAUACUUCUGCAGUGUUUCCUUGUGUUUGAUUCUGUUCUGUUUAUUGGUCCAGAAGUUACAUUAAUAAGUAUAGAUUUUAUUGUUUUAAUCCAAUACAAUUUACAGUACAUUUUAUCUGACACACAGUAGGCAUAUAUGACAAGGAGAUCAUUUAUGCAAAUAAACAAUGUACUUUCUCUUCUGUUUUUAUCACUCCUUUAUGUCUAUAAUUGGCAUCAAUGUCCAAAGCCUUUAUUGACUCCAAGAGUGCCCAUUAGUACACAAAUGAUCACAUCCUCGUUUUACGCCACCAAUAAUUGAGAUUCCCUCGUUCUGAAAUGCUCUUCCUUGUGCCCCCGUGUUGAGGACGCUUCCUCUGCUCAUGUCCUCCCAUUGCUCCCGUCUUCUUGCACAUGACUCCCCAACACAAACACACUCACACACGCACACUCAUGUCACCUGUCUCUAAGAAUUCAUGCUCCCCAGACAGCUGGGAAUCUAGAGGGUGCUGCGAGCAGCCUGUAUGAGGGUGUAACGCACAUGUGCCAAGGGGCAGGAGUUAAGUUGAAAUUCAGAUGCAAAGACAGGGACAUAGAACAGGACAGAGGGCGCAGAGACCCUGAGCCCUGGAGCCCGGGGUGUUUGAGGCCUAGGGAAGGGAAGGGAGGAGUAGUCAAGGAUGAUGGUGAGGAACUAACCCAGCUACACUACAGUACGUUCAACUCAAGACUUCCCAACAUCCAAAUCAGCUUUCCCUUAAAAUCACUAAGCCAAGUUUGCCUUCAGGACUGUAGGAAUCUUUUCAUUUGAAAGUUUUGUUAUUUGUAGUAUUUGAGUCAUAUAAAGGAAUGUAGUGUAAGUUUUGUCACAUAAUGAUGACAUAAAUACUUGUGGCACAAAGAUCACCCGUCAGUGGUAGACCUUUUAUCUCAGUUCCUUCUAACUCUCACAGUUACCUGGAAUUCCUUUUAGAGAACACACAAGCUUUCAGGCUAGACAUUGAAAGGAAGGCUAAAGCUGUAGCUACCGGGGACAGUUGACAC